UUUUUCUUUUCACAUGAUCUAAAAUCUUGUCAUUCAUUUUCUCAUUUCAAGAUUCAUGUAAAAGUAACAAUAGAUUUGGAUUUAGUUUGAAUUGGAAAUGGAUUGUGCUCUGAUGCUUUACCUAUUUUCUGCAAACUUUAAGCUUUUUCAUUAGGGGUUGGGCGUCGAAGAAGUUCGUGACAGGCUGAUCACUAGUAGCUCCAGCUCGAUUACUAAAUCAUCCGCCAUGGCCUCACAAGCUUGUCUACUUCAGAAACAGAUCAGCUCAAAGAUCUUUGUAAGCAUGUUGUAGAUGGAUUCUCUUUGCUGGUCUAUUUCAUGAUAUUUUGUCCGUGAUUUGAUUCUCCGACAACAUAUCAUUUUCUUUGAAAGGGUUUCUCUGAAUCUGUCUAAGUGGUUUUGAUGGUGAUGGCUAGAUUUGGAUUUAAUUCAUGUCUCGAGAUAAGCAGAGGAAUCACAUUAUAAGAUUUGAGACACUUGCCGUUUUCUAUGAUGAACACAAGUGGGUUCAAUAGCUACAGUGCCAAUGACCUGAUUCCCCAUUGGACAAUGUGUACGUAGCCAGCUUGAUCUAGCCUGCUUUCAAGAGCUAUGAUGUCAAGCAUAUCUACAAGAAAGAACAAUGGGUUCUCAAUAUAUUAUGUACAGUGGAGAGUGUCAAGAACAGCUCUAAUAUAUUAUUCGCUUGAAACAUGUACUUUGGUUAUUAAUAUAAAACAUUUUCAGCUUUAUGAA